AGUGAACGCUGGCGGUAGGCCUAACACAUGCAAGUCGAACGGCAGCACAGUAAGAGCUUGCUCUUACGGGUGGCGAGUGGCGGACGGGUGAGGAAUACAUCGGAAUCUACUUUUUCGUGGGGGAUAACGUAGGGAAACUUACGCUAAUACCGCAUACGACCUACGGGUGAAAGCAGGGGAUCUUCGGACCUUGCGCGAUUGAAUGAGCCGAUGUCGGAUUAGCUAGUUGGCGGGGUAAAGGCCCACCAAGGCGACGAUCCGUAGCUGGUCUGAGAGGAUUAUCAGCCACACUGGAACUGAGACACGGUCCAGACUCCUACGGGAGGCAGCAGUGGGGAAUAUUGGACAAAGGGCGCAAGCCUGAUCCAGCCAUACCGCGUGGGUGAAGAAGGCCUUCGGGUUGUAAAGCCCUUUUGUUGGGAAAGAAAAGCAGCAGGUUAAUACCCCGCUGUUCUGACGGUACCCAAAGAAUAAGCACCGGCUAACUUCGUG
rnacentral:rRNA from 1 species